rnacentral:rRNA from 1 species
UACGUAGGGACCAAGCGUUGUUCGGAUUUACUGGGCGUAAAGGGCGCGUAGGCGGCAAUUCAAGUCAUCUGUGAAAUCUCCGGGCUUAACUCGGAACGGUCAGAUGAUACUGCUUUGCUAGAGUGCGGAAGGGGCAAUCGGAAUUCUUGGUGUAGCGGUGAAAUGCGUAGAUAUCAAGAGGAACACCUGAGGUGAAGACGGGUUGCUGGGCCGACACUGACGCUGAGUGCGCGAAAGCGUGGGGAGCGAACAGG